rnacentral:rRNA from 1 species
AGUCGAGCGGACAGAUGGGAGCUUGCUCCCUGAUGUUAGCGGCGGACGGGUGAGUAACACGUGGGUAACCUGCCUGUAAGACUGGGAUAACUCCGGGAAACCGGGGCUAAUACCGGAUGGUUGUUUGAACCGCAUGGUUCAAACAUAAAAGGUGGCUUCGGCUACCACUUACAGAUGGACCCGCGGCGCAUUAGCUAGUUGGUGAGGUAACGGCUCACCAAGGCAACGAUGCGUAGCCGACCUGAGAGGGUGAUCGGCCACACUGGGACUGAGACACGGCCCAGACUCCUACGGGAGGCAGCAGUAGGGAAUCUUCCGCAAUGGACGAAAGUCUGACGGAGCAACGCCGCGUGAGUGAUGAAGGUUUUCGGAUCGUAAAGCUCUGUUGUUAGGGAAGAACAAGUACCGUUCGAAUAGGGCGGUACCUUGACGGUACCUAACCAGAAAGCCACGGCUAACUACGUGCCAGCAGCCGCGGUAAUACGUAGGUGGCAAGCGUUGUCCGGAAUUAUUGGGCGUAAAGGGCUCGCAGGCGGUUUCUUAAGUCUGAUGUGAAAGCCCCCGGCUCAACCGGGGAGGGUCAUUGGAAACUGGGGAACUUGAGUGCAGAAGAGGAGAGUGGAAUUCCACGUGUAGCGGUGAAAUGCGUAGAGAUGUGGAGGAACACCAGUGGCGAAGGCGACUCUCUGGUCUGUAACUGACGCUGAGGAGCGAAAGCGUGGGGAGCGAACAGGAUUAGAUACCCUGGUAGUCCACGCCGUAAACGAUGAGUGCUAAGUGUUAGGGGGUUUCCGCCCCUUAGUGCUGCAGCUAACGCAUUAAGCACUCCGCCUGGGGAGUACGGUCGCAAGACUGAAACUCAAAGGAAUUGACGGGGGCCCGCACAAGCGGUGGAGCAUGUGGUUU